UACGUAGGUGGCAAGCGUUAUCCGGAAUUAUUGGGUUUAAAGGGAGCGUAGGUGGAUUGUUAAGUCAGUUGUGAAAGUUUGCGGCUCAACCGUAAAAUUGCAGUUGAAACUGGCGUUCUUGAGUGGAAGAGAAGUAUGCGGAAUGCGUGGUGUAGCGGUGAAAUGCAUAGAUAUCACGCAGAACCCCGAUUGCGAAGGCAGCAUGCCGGCUUCCGACUGACGCUGAAGCACGAAAGCGUGGGGAUCGAACAGG
rnacentral:rRNA from 1 species